AAUUUACCCUUCAUUUUUCCUGGAAGCAUACGCGUUACACCUCAUGCAUGCAUUCAUUUUUAGGUCAUUUAACAUUAGAUACAUUGCAUUUCAUCAUGUCAAUCAAAAAAAACGAAAAGAAAAAAAAAACGAAAAAAUAAAUAAAUAAAUAAAAUUAAUUAAAUAAAUAAAUAAAAUAUAACAAAUUUUUUUGGACUUGGGUCUCCCUCAUUUGAGCCCACUACCC
rnacentral:lncRNA from 1 species